rnacentral:lncRNA from 1 species
CUGCAGAGUGGAACAUGGCGGCCUCCUUGCCGCUUGCGUUACCAGAGUCCACCCGGCCUCGUGCUUUCUCCGGGCGCCCGUAGCUGGCGCCGGCAUCCACAAAAAUAGAUCAGGCUGGAGUGCAAUGGCGCAAUCUGCAAUGGCUCACUGUGACCUCCGCCUCCCAGGUUCAAGCAAUUCUCCUGCCUCAGCCUCCCAAGUAGGUGGGAUUGCAGGCCCCCACCACCAUGCCC